AGCUAUAGCUUAAGCAUCAGGAAAAUUGGAACUCACUUGCUUUGACGAUAUAAUGGAACCUGUGCUGGUUGGUGCAAUGGAAUCUUACAAAUGUCAUUAUAAGAUCAGAGUUCGAAUAUCAAGAUUGUGGAGAGCAAAAAGUACAAUACUGACAAAAAUGAUGGUCUGCAAUGCGUUUUGGUUGAUGAAAUGGUAAUUUUCUUACCUGCAAUUAUUUUUAUCUGUUAUGUUCUAUCUCGAUGUUGUGGAAUUGGAAAAUGUCACUAUGUUCCAUUUCAAAUUGUCUCUCUGCAACUGAUUUUUUUUUCUUUUCCAUGUAAUACAGGGUGAUGCAAUUCAUGCAAUUGUAACUGAAUCUGAUUACCACUUGGUUCACAAAAAAUUGCAUCAAGGCAAAGUGUAUGAUAUUGAUCAUUUCUUUACACGAAAAAGCCAAGAGAGUUACAAAAUUGUUGAUCAUUAAGUGCAAGUGUACUUCAAUGCAAAGACUGUCUUUGAACCAGUUGAAGAAAGCUUCCCACCAAUUCCACAACAUCGGUUCUAUUUUGUAGAUUUUGACCAGCUGAGGGCACGCAUUAACAACAAUACAAUUCUCUCAGAUGUUUAUGGCUGUU